rnacentral:rRNA from 1 species
UCCAGACUCCUACGGGAGGCAGCAGUGGGGGAUAUUGCACAAUGGGGGGAACCCUGAUGCAGCGACGCCGCGUGGGUGAAGGAGCGUUUCGGCGCGUAAAGCCCUCUCGGCAGGGAAGAAGGAGGACGGUACCUGACUAAGAAGCCCCGGCUAACUACGUGCCAGCAGCCGCGGUAAUACGUAGGGGGCAAGCGUUAUCCGGAUUUACUGGGUGUAAAGGGGGCGCAGACGGCAGCGCAAGCCAGGAGUGAAAGCCCGGGGCCCAACCCCGGGACUGCUCUUGGAACUGCGCGGCUGGAGUGCAGGAGGGGCAGGCGGAAUUCCUGGUGUAGCGGUGAAAUGCGUAGAUAUCAGGAGGAACACCGGUGGCGAAGGCGGCCUGCUGGACUGCGACUGACGUUGAGGCCCGAAAGCGUGGGGAGCAAACAGGAUUAGAUACCCGAGUAGG